rnacentral:sRNA from 1 species
AAUUCCCUGGGGUGUUUGUCAGCGGAUCUACGUCCCUGAGCCGAUAAGCAAACCUAAGGGUGUGUUGUUACAAGCUACUGAGCAAGCUCGGCACGUACCGAGAAGCCUACGGU